AUACGGAGGGUGCAAGCGUUAUCCGGAAUCAUUGGGUUUAAAGGGUCCGUAGGCGGGCCGAUAAGUCAGGGGUGAAAUCCCACAGCUUAACUGUGGAACUGCCCUUGAUACUGUUGGUCUUGAGUUACAGUGAAGUGGUUAGAACGUGUAGUGUAGCGGUGAAAUGCAUAAAUAUUACACAGAAUACCGAUUGCGAAGGCAGAUCACUAACUGUUGACUGACGCUAAUGGACGAAAGCGUGGGGAGCGAACAGGAUUAGAAACCCUAGUAGUCC
rnacentral:rRNA from 1 species